UAGGGAAUCUUCGGCAAUGGGGGGAACCCUGACCGAGCAACGCCGCGUGAGUGAAGAAGGUUUUCGGAUCGUAAAGCUCUGUUGUUAAGGAAGAACGAGUGUGAGAAUGGAAAGUUCAUACUGUGACGGUACUUAACCAGAAAGGGACGGCUAACUACGUGCCAGCAGCCGCGGUAAUACGUAGGUCCCGAGCGUUGUCCGGAUUUAUUGGGCGUAAAGCGAGCGCAGGCGGUUAGAAAAGUCUGAAGUGAAAGGCAGUGGCUCAACCAUUGUAGGCUUUGGAAACUGUUUAGCUUGAGUGCAGGAGGGGAGAGUGUAAUUCCAUGUGUAGCGGUGAAAUGCGUAGAUAGAUGGAGGAACACCGGUGGCGAAAGCGGCUCUCUGGUCUGUAACUGACUCUGAGGCUCGAAAGCGUGGGGAGCGAACAGG
rnacentral:rRNA from 1 species